UUUUAAUCCUGUGUAAAAUAAAUGUUUGGAAAAAGUGACAAGAAACCUCGUCUUGUUAUACGUUUUCAGAAAGGUAUUUGAAAGACCUUUCCAAUUAUCCAAAAAGAUUGAAGUUCUUACAACCCUUUCAAAUGUGAGUACACCCACAGGAAUACAAUAUCUCAAAAUCUGCCACAGUGGAUUUGCCACAAAAAAUGUUACCUUUUAUGACAGAUUUUGCAGCAAGCGGAGAUAACAAUUUUGCCCGUGUGUAAACAUGUCAGCGAUUUGCAGUCCUCACCAAUACUCAUAUCUUCUGACCUAUCUUCGAGUAAUUGAUCACAAAGAAGAAUAUAUUUGAGCGCUAUUCUUCUCAUUCCAUCAAGUGGUCCAUGGCCCGGUGAUAGCGAGUCAGAUCAGCAACCUAAACAGCCAUCGGCAAUGUAGAUAACAAUCGUUAACGGGAGAGGAUCUCAGAUAUAUCGAUGUAAAAGAUAUCCGUCCCAUCAUGCAACCCGUAAUUAGUUGGAUAAUUGAAAGACCUUUCAGACGAGCCUAAAAAAUCGAAGAUCUGGUACCCCUAUCAGAAGUUAUUAGCACUUAACUGCCCAUGAUCGCAUAAAUGUCCGAUAUGCGAAAACAGCAAGCUGAGAAAAACGCAAGGCAAGUUUGUCCUACGCAUUAGGCUACGUUGUUAGUUUUCACUAAAAAUGUCCUCCUGAUUUCUAAAAAAAAAGUACUGGAAAGCACAAGAUUUUGAACCAAACUACUUCAAUAACUCAAAAGCGAUGAAAAUGCAUAUGGAACAUUUAUGCGAUCAGGGGCAGUUCAGUGCUUUUGUACACUGUUUGGAGGUCGAAUCUCAGAUAAAUCGAUAAAAAUUAUGUGACCCAAAUUACUUGUCAGAGGCCGGAUCUCAGACAUUUUUGCGAAAAUUAUGUCCGGAUCAAUCUUGCAAUACAUUGUUGGAUGCGUAUUUGCUGGUUGUAUAACGUCAAGAUUCGAAUUCCCGGACACCUCAUCUUGUUUUAUCAAUUAUUUGGAUAUAAGUUCGCAUUAUGAAUGUCAAAACUGUGUUAAUUCCCACAUCAACUUUCAUUUAAAGUUUGGUUGAACGCUGUAGUUAAUGCCUAAAUAAUUAAAUAAAAUAAAACAAAAAGUUUACAAAAACA